rnacentral:rRNA from 1 species
GAUGAACGCUGGCGGCGUGCCUAAUACAUGCAAGUCGAGCGAACAGACGAGUAGCUUGCUCCUCUGACGUUAGCGGCGGACGGAUGAGUAACACGUGGAUAACCUACCUAUAAGACUGGGAUAACUUCGGGAAACCGGAGCUAAUACCGGAUAAUAUAUUGAACCGCAUGGUUCAAUAGUGAAAGACGGUUUUGCUGUCACUUAUAGAUGGAUCCGCGCCGCAUUAGCUAGUUGGUAAGGUAACGGCUUACCAAGGCAACGAUGCGUAGCCGACCUGAGAGGGUGAUCGGCCACACUGGAACUGAGACACGGUCCAGACUCCUACGGGAGGCAGCAGUAGGGAAUCUUCCGCAAUGGGCGAAAGCCUGACGGAGCAACGCCGCGUGAGUGAUGAAGGUCUUCGGAUCGUAAAACUCUGUUAUUAGGGAAGAACAAAUGUGUAAGUAACUAUGCACGUCUUGACGGUACCUAAUCAGAAAGCCACGGCUAACUACGUG